UUGCAUCUUCAAACCUCUUUUCAUCAACACAUCACCCUCACCUUUUCCCACCUUCAAAUCCAAUCCUUUAUAUAUAUAUAUAUAUAUAUAUUCAUCCAUCUUUCACUAUCAUCAACUUUCUUCCAAAACCUUCUUUCCAACAAUGGCUUCCGGUCAACAGAAAUUUCCCCCUCAGCAGCAAAAAACACAGCCCGGCAAGGAACAUCUAAUGACUCCACCACCCCAGUUCACCAGCCCUGACUACAAGCCUGCCAAUAAACUCCAAGUAGACUUGUUUCCUGAUAAUUUUUUUGUUGGUGCAUGCAUGCAUGCACGUUGCGUUUUGUUUGAUUGGUGUAACUGCUAUUCAUUCUGUGUAGAAAAUUGGAUUUCCUUUUUCAGGGGAAGAUUGCAUUAAUUACUGGUGGUGAUUCUGGGAUAGGACGAGCUGUGUGUAACUUGUUUUCGUUAGAAGGUGCUACUGUGGCCUUCACAUAUGUGAAGGGGAGUGAGGACAAGGAUGCAAAGGAGACCCUGGAGAUGAUAAAGACGGCCAAGACUGCGGAUGCCAAGGAUCCAAUAGCCAUACCGACUGAUUUGGGUUAUGAUGAGAAUUGCAAGAGGGUGGUUGGCGAGGUGGUGAGUGCUUUUGGUCGUAUUGACAUUCUGGUCAACAAUGCCGCUGAGCAAUACGAGUGUGCAACUGUGGAGGAGAUAGAUGAGCCUAGGCUUGAGAGGGUCUUUCGAACCAAUAUCUUUUCCUAUUUCUUCAUGGCCAGGUAAAAUCGUGAAUCAUGAAUGAUAAAUGAUGUGAUAGAAAACAUGAAAUGAUGUGUUUUUGUUGUAUAUAGGCAUGCUUUGAAGCACAUGGAGGAGGGAAGCAGCAUAAUCAACACGACAUCAGUGAAUGCAUACAAGGGGAAUUCGAAACUACUGGAUUACACUUCAACUAAGGGAGCAAUUGUGGCCUUUACGAGGGGACUGUCCCUUCAGCUGGUUAGCAAGGGAAUUCGGGUAAAUGGGGUGGCUCCAGGACCCAUUUGGACUCCAUUGAUACCAGCAUCUUUCAAGGAGGAAGAAACUGCAGAAUUUGGAAGUGAAGUUCCAAUGAAGAGAGCUGGUCAGCCUAUUGAGGUUGCACCAUCUUUUGUUUUUCUUGCUUCCAACUCGUGCUCCUCUUACAUAACUGGACAAGUCCUUCACCCCAAUGGUAACACUGCUUAUGCUUAUAUAGUACUUUAUAUACUAUUCUACACUCUGGUUCACUUACUAAUUAACAUUGCAUGUGCAUUUUCAGGUGGAACUAUUGUCAAUGGUUAAACUGCAUCAGUGAUACUCUAAUGUAGUACGGUGUUACGUUUUUGUGUGAAUCAGCUUCUCUCUUCAAUGUUUUGGAAGUGGGGAUGUUAUCCACUUUUGAAUGUACAAGUUAGCCGAAUAAAAUAAGUCUUUGUAGCGAAACAUGAAGAGUAAAAUCAUGAAAUAAAGUUAUAAGUGCGUGUUGCAUUCUACUUAAUUGAGUUUAACAAAUUACUACGAAAACAUAUCAGAGGUUCAAAGUUACAGAAAUGAAUGAUAAUCGAACUUUCUUGAUUCCUCUUCUUCACAAGACGACAGAAACAUCCUAUGUUAAGAUUACAAAAAAAAAAAAAAAAGUCUUAAAAU
rnacentral:lncRNA from 1 species